ensembl:lncRNA
AGGCUGCCCCACUCAGCUGUUUUUUCUUUCCGACUUUUUGGUCGUUCCAUGGAUUAUAAACUCCUUAAGGAAAGAGAGGAAGUUCUUGGCCGUGGCUGACUCUCCCUCUACUGUGUCACGCCGUCUCUCACACAGUUCUUGCUGGUUAAAAUGCUGGGUUGAGUGCACGCGAGCAGGCUCUGUUCCCUGAACUAGGCAGACGGGGCGUGGGGUUGGGAUGGCUGCACGUGCGAGCCUCAUGGAUCCACGUGACACUCGGAGCAGGGCCCAGCGCGUGGUCAGUGCUCAGGGAGUGGCAGCCUUCACCUGGUAAUUGCAGCAGGUAUAGUGGUUGGUGCGUCUCAUCAGAACAAGAAGGCACCUUUCCCACAAGAGCUAUAACAUAGCCUCUGCGGACGCAGCCCUCGGCAGCAGGGAGGAGCCCACAUUCAGAGGACUGGACGCAGUUCACACAGAAAAACACACUUGCAAAUCGAAGAACAGUGUUUCUAAGCUUUUUCACUGACCAUGCGAUAGACACUGUCACAGAACCGAAACGUGUCUGAAGUGGAACGUAUCCGGGCCCUGCCUGUGCAGGCUGGUGGUAGCCUUGAAAGGGCUCAGGGAGCGCCCUGCUGUCUCUGUGGCUGCACUGGAGCAGGGCCCAUCUCGCUUUCUCUCCGGCUCGGGCCUCAGGUCUCCCAGCUUCUCAAGAUGCCUCCAGACCUGUGGGGACAGUGAACCGUAUCCAGAAACCACGAUUAAGAAAGAUAUGCUGGGGGUGGGGUGGGGUAAGAAUCUGCCUACCCACACAGGGGACACAGGUUCGAUCCCUGGUCCAGGAAGAUCACACCUGCCUUGGAGCAGGUAAGCCUGUUCACCACCACUAGCUCAGCGUAGCCCUGGAGCCUGUGCUCUGCAACCAGAGAAGCUGCUGCAGUGAGAGACCUGGGCACCGCAGCUGGAGAGGAGCCCUCGCUUGGCUCAGCUUAGAGAAAGCCCAGGCGCGACAGUGAAGAUCCAGCACAACCAGAUGAGCAGAUUAAUAAAAGGAAGGAUGUGCUAGAUGUGAAGCAAAACGGCUUGUCUUUGACU